AGCCCCGAGGUGUUUUACAUAUUAGAUUGCAAAUCUUAAGAAGUAGGCUAACCCCUACCGGGGCUU
rnacentral:tRNA from 4 species